rnacentral:lncRNA from 10 species
AGAACACAGGAGACUCUCCACCAGUAUUUGUGUACUGAAUAAAGGAAUGAAGGAAACCUUCAGGCCUUCCCUCCUCAGAAGAAUCCUAAAAGGAACUUGAUUCAGGGAAAGACUUCAACUCAAAGGGGCUGGUAGGCCAUUUUAAAUGGAACAGAUGGAAGGCCAUCUUCAAAGGUACUGCCUACCUGAACCUGCCUUGUCCCAAAGGACACACUUCAAUCUGGGGAGAGUUUAAAGUUGUAGACAUAUCCAUUUUCAUUUAAGGAAUAUGAAGAUCAGGGAGGCAAAAUAUAGAGAUAUAGAGAGGAAAAACUGAGAGAUGAUCAGAAAUUCAGACGCAUUCGGAAUGAGCACCCUUGACCAUACCAAGAACAAAGACUCUAUAAAAAUGUGAAGUCUUAUUAUUGUUCAUCCAUGUUCUACGUGGGAUCCACCCAAGACAUUGAAAACUGUACAGAACAGGGUGAAAUUGAAUCAGAUCAUUCUGUACUCCUAACAAGGUCCACCCCAUGAGAGACUUGCAGCAGAAUUAAUGACACUGUAUAUUUUCCUCUACUAACAACAACAAGAACAACAACAACAACAAUCUAGGAAAAUCAAAGGCAGCCCGACAUGGAAAAAAACACAAAAUGAAUAUUUGGAUUACAAAUAGUGUGAUGGGAAGAACACACUGCCAAAAGUCCACCUAGUAUGUUGAAAUUACUGUUUCUAGCACAUAUAAGUCAACUUACCUAUAAAAGGAUACAAAAACUGAAGAACAGAGAGGAGCAGAUACCCUGGAAAGCCGAAAGUUUUAUUGACCAAAGACUGAGUCUCGGAAUGUUUUGAUUGUGGAGUUUAUAGAGUUCAGGCUGAAGUUUUAUAAAAAUAACUUGCAGCAGCAUGGAGGACUGAUGAGAAAGUAGACAGAUGCUGGAAGCAGGAAAACUGAACAGCAGGUCACUGGCCAAGGAGAAUCAAAGAGCUAGAUGCUGAGAAUAAUGCAGCCAUAACGUGAAAUCUUUUUGAGACCACUCACUCUGGGAGAAAGCAACUGGCUAUGUCAUGAGGAAAUUGAAACCACCUAUGGAGAAAGGCCCACAUGGUGAGAAAGUAAAGCCUCUUCCCAAUACCAAAAUUCUGUAAGUCUGCUACGGUGACAUUUCUGGUUAGGAGUCAGAGUGGAUGGGACACUGAGCAAUAAGAAUGCAGAGACAUGAUGGCUGAAGCUGGAGCUUUUCCCUGAAGCAACCACCUGUUGGAAACUUCAUGUUGAAGAUGACUGAAUAAUAAGACAGAGGGGUCUGGGUCCCUGGUGGAUAUUCCAGAUCUGGGUGUUCGUGGAGAUAUGAGAAAGCAAUAAACUUCAAUUUUGCUUAAAUAGCUGUUAC